rnacentral:rRNA from 1 species
GAUGAACGCUGGCGGCGUGCUUAACACAUGCAAGUCGAACGGGGAUUAUUUCAUUGAAGCUUCGGCAGAUUUGGCUUAAUCCUAGUGGCGGACGGGUGAGUAACGCGUGGGUAACCUGCCUUGUACAGGGGGAUAACAGUCAGAAAUGACUGCUAAUACCGCAUAAGCGCACAGGACCGCAUGGUCCGGUGUGAAAAACUCCGGUGGUAUAAGAUGGACCCGCGUUGGAUUAGCUUGUUGGCAGGGUAACGGCCUACCAAGGCGACGAUCCAUAGCCGGCCUGAGAGGGUGAACGGCCACAUUGGGACUGAGACACGGCCCAGACUCCUACGGGAGGCAGCAGUGGGGAAUAUUGCACAAUGGGGGAAACCCUGAUGCAGCGACGCCGCGUGAAGGAAGAAGUAUCUCGGUAUGUAAACUUCUAUCAGCAGGGAAGAAAAUGACGGUACCUGACUAAGAAGCCCCGGCUAACUA